rnacentral:rRNA from 1 species
GACGAACGCUGGCGGCGUGCCUAAUACAUGCAAGUCGAGCGGACUGAAUGGGAGCUUGCUCUUGUUCGGUCAGCGGCGGACGGGUGAGUAACACGUGGGCAACCUGCCCGCAAGACCGGGAUAACUCCGGGAAACCGGAGCUAAUACCGGAUAACACCGAAGACCGCAUGGUCUUUGGUUGAAAGGCGGCGCAAGCUGCCACUUGCGGAUGGGCCCGCGGCGCAUUAGCUAGUUGGUGAGGUAACGGCGCACCAAGGCGACGAUGGGUAGCCGGCCUGAGGGGGUGGCCGGCCAAACUGGGACUGAGACACGGCACAGACGCCUACGGGAGGCAGCAGUAGGGAAUCUGCCGCAAUGGGGGAAAGCCUGACGGAGCGACGCCGCGUGAGCGAAGAAGGCCUUCGGGUCGUAAAGCUCUGUUGUGAGGGACGAAGGAGCGCCGUUUGAAGAAGGCGGCGCGGUGACGGUACCUCACGAGGAAGCCCCGGCUAACUACGUG